rnacentral:sRNA from 1 species
AGCAGCCGCGGUAAUUCCAGCUCCAAUAGCGUAUAUUAAAGUUGUUGUGGUUAAAAAGCUCGUAGUUGAACCUUGGGCCUGGCUGGCCGGUCCGCCUCACCGCGUGUACUGGUCCGGCCGGGCCUUUCCCUCUGUGGAACCCCAUGCCCUUCACUGGGUGUGGCGGGGAAACAGGACUUUUACUUUGAAAAAAUUAGAGUGCUCCAGGCAGGCCUAUGCUCGAAUACAUUAGCAUGGAGUAAUAGAAUAGGACGUGUGGUUCUAUUUUGUUGGUUUCUAGGACCGCCGUAAUGAUUAAUAGGGACGGUCGGGGGCAUCAGUAUUCAAUUGUCAGAGGUGAAAUUCUUGGAUUUAUUGAAGACUAACUACUGCGAAAGCAUUUGCCAAGGAUGUUUUCAUUAAUCAGGAACGAAAGUUAGGGGAUCGAAGACGAUCAGAUACCGUCGUAGUCUUAACCAUAAACUAUGCCGACUAGGGAUCGGACGAU